GACGAACGCUGGCGGCGUGCCUAAUACAUGCAAGUAGAACGCUGAAGGAGGAGCUUGCUUCUCUGGAUGAGUUGCGAACGGGUGAGUAACGCGUAGGUAACCUGCCUGGUAGCGGGGGAUAACUAUUGGAAACGAUAGCUAAUACCGCAUAAGAGUAGAUGUUGCAUGACAUUUGCUUAAAAGGUGCAAUUGCAUCACUACCAGAUGGACCUGCGUUGUAUUAGCUAGUUGGUGGGGUAACGGCUCACCAAGGCGACGAUACAUAGCCGACCUGAGAGGGGGAUCGGCCACGCUGGGACUGGGACACGGCCCAGACUCCUACGGGAGGCAGCAGUAGGGAAUCUUCGGCAAUGGACGGAAGUCUGACCGAGCAACGCCGCGUGAGUGAAGAAGGUUUUCGGAUCGUAAAGCUCUGUUGUAAGAGAAGAACGAGUGUGAGAGUGGAAAGUUCACACUGUGACGGUAUCUUACCAGAAAGGGACGGCUAACUACGUG
rnacentral:rRNA from 1 species